rnacentral:rRNA from 1 species
CAGCAGCCGCGGUAAUACAGAGGAUGCAAGCGUUAUCCGGAAUGAUUGGGCGUAAAGCGGGUGCAGACGGUUACUUAAGCCAGAUGUGAAAUCCCCAAGCUUAACUUGGGACGUGCAUUUGAAACUGGGUGACUAGAGUGUGUCAGAGGGAGGUAGAAUUCCACAUGUAGCGGUGGAAUGCGUAGAGAUGUGGAGGAAUACCGAUGGCGAAGGCAGCCUCCUGGGAUAACACUGACGUUGAGGCUCGAAAGCGUGGGGAGCAAACAGGAUUAGAUACCCGCGUAGUCCCUGUCUCUUAUAC